GCUCGACAAGAUCUUGAUGCUCAAGCUGGAAAGUGGUUCAUAUUACAACCAGAUCAUACUGAAGUUCAGGAAGUGGCUGCAUGAGGUGUGUUGUGUUCUUGUUUUCCCUGGGAGCAGAACAUGACCGCGUGUGUCAUUGGGUGAUCCAAUCUGG